UAUUUACAUUAGUAGGCAGAGA
rnacentral:miRNA from 1 species